UAAAUUAUGUAUCUGGUAUCUAGAUACAGUAGGGAUUAUGUAAUGAUAAUGGAACUAUUUUAUGGAAUUUUAUUUAUGGAAUUAUGAAAAAAUUAAUUCUAGAACUAGGUAUCAUUCUUUUCAAAAAUUAUCCAAAAGUAUCGCACGUGUUCUAAAACACAGCAAUAGUCAAUAAUAUAAUUGAUUAACGGUAGUAAAUAAUUUUUGUACACAUAGUAGUUUCUACUUUAAUUUACUUUAACUCUGUGGUAUGCUUAUUAUUAUUUUUAAUAUUAUAUGUGGUACGCUGUGUAUGUUAAAACAUUCAAGCAAAGCUGUUAAUGAAACAGUUUUAGUCGGUAGUAUCAGUAAAUCAGUAAUAGUUAUAAUAAUAAGAAUCUGCUGUUCCAGUUAACUCGCAGCUUAGCGGAAAAUGCGAGAAAAUUAUAAGCUUUCACUUAUCGCUCUUAUUAGAAACGAAUGUGGGUUAAUGACCUGUUACUACUUACACAAGUAACUUUUCAAUGCUUGUUUUAGAAAACUGUUUUAUGUUAAAAUCGUAUUAUUCAAGAUUAUUUAAAAAUUGGCAAAUUAUAUUAAACUUUAUCAAUUGCUUCCUAAGAUAGGUGAAUGAGAUGAAUGAAUUAUUAUUAUUUUAUUAAUAUCUUACCAAGCACAGUAUUCUAUUACACUUAAAGGACCCGCGUUCAUUAUGAUAGAAAAUAAUUUCUACAACUUUCACAACGUAGUUUCUAGACCUCCACAUGCAUCCAAACCCUAUAAUGUAAACUAUAUUAUCAACUUCAACAUAUCAAGUUUGGAGACAUUAAAUUCUAUGUAAAAGCUCGUUUAACUCUCGGGCAGCAAAGACUGGGUCAAUACUGACUCAUAUAGAUAUUUCAUGUUUAUUAGGUACUUUCUAUAUUACAUUUACGUAUUCUGUUCUAUUAAACUGUUAGGUUGAGUAAUACAUUCAUUCACGUUUCCUUAAAAGAACGUCGAACGUUAUUCGUAUAAAAUCUACCUAAUUAAAGAGUAACUUUUUCAUUCUAUUUCUUUAUUUUAUACCUUCUAUGAAAAAAAUUCAAAUACGUUUCUUUUCACAUUCUUUAAAUAGUUUUUAUAAUAUUUUUCGAAAUUAGACUGGUAUUAACAAUUUAUUUAAUUUUCAGCUUCAUAGCCUAGGAAAUGUGAACUUGGUUUAUAUUGUCUUCUACUCAACACACAUACCCGUACAAUUAUUCCCUCGUCUUUCUCAUCCUUCCAUAACUCCAUUCAUAUCAUUUAUCCACCUAACUCUAUUCAGAUGACUCUAUUUCGAACGCUUACUCCUUAUUCUAGCCUCUGCUACUCGCUUUAGAACUAUCCUAAUCCCUCCAUUUAUCCUCUACUUCAUUACAUCUACUUUUCUUUUCUCCCGCCCUCGUCCUUUUCCUUCCUCAUUCCUACAAUGCUGCUCCUUUCCACCAUUCCACCACGCGUUACUCCUUUCUAUCGUAUAGAACUUUUUCCACGCUUAAAUUUACUGUUUGCACACCUGUAUAGUUCUCUACUAAGUGUUCCAUCGUUAUAUAUAUUCCUUCUGUAUAUCCUACACAGUCUGUCCUGCUCCUUCCUCCAAUACCUAUCUCCUUCUUCCAUAUUUUCACAUCUUGCUCUUACCAUAAGGUUCUAGCUUCCCCUUGUACCAACCUCCAUAAAGUGGGAUGCUCACCACCGUAUAAAUACCUGUACAGUAUACGAUACCUAGAGUUUCUUAUUUUACUGUACUGCAACUGUCUUUGGUUCAGUAUCUCUCAGCAAAGAAAGAAGAAUAAAUGCUUGUUUACAAUGCAUCUUACAAGCGCAAAUAGCAAAUUAGAAUUCGAAACAAUUAGAGUGUUAAUUUCUUUCUGAAGUUUAUUAUUUUCUCAAGCAGUCAGAACUUCAUUAUAUCGACAAAAGUGGUGGGUGUUAAAUCCAGGCCAUUAGUGUUUAUAGUCGACUACAUUGUCCACGUAAAUUUCCUAUAUAGUAAGUCACUAUAUGUAACUGUAAUAGCGACUAUGAUAUACAAUAUAAGUAUUCCUACUAGAUAAAGCUAAUACACGAUACAAAAGCAACUUUUCCUAUGUACCACAAGAGCAAAGUUUCACAAGCAUAAUGCUUCGCGAAAGUAUCCGGAAUGUUCGCCAUAGAAAAGUUUUACGAACACAGUCAACUUUCUAUAUUGUACAUUAACUUUUUACUAAAUACAUGUUGAUAGUAAGUACCUUGUAAUUUCUACAUCGAUCUUCAGAUUCGUUUCAAAUUUCACGAAUAAAAUCAUGACAGUCGUAUCUCGCUACAAUACAAAUGAAAUUUGUGAAGACGUUUUAUCUAAUGCACAUAAUACAGUGGCUACAAAAAGUACUAGCACGCUACUGUGUCUAUUAUAAGAAUUAUGUACUGAUUAAUUAAAUCCAAGUAUAUUAAAUUUCUAUAAAAAUUUCGUAGGACCUCGUGAAAAAUCAUCUUAUUAGAAACUAAGGAUACGUGUAAAGACCUUUUCUAUAUACCGUAUGUAAGUAAAAAUUUCCUAUGGUAAUCGUUCGAAUAGUUUUAUGAGUCGCUGUAUACAAUAUACGCUGUAUGUAGUUGGCACGGAAAAUACUGUUCCUUCCAAGGAAUUUCAAAGCGCGCGAAGGGAAAAAGCGCACCACGUUUGAAAGAGGAGAAUGUCCGGCGUUAAGUGCAAGACGGUGAGCGAGAGAUUAGCUCGAUCGGUAAGAGAGGAAGAAAAAAAUGGGAGGUACCUUUCACUCGGGCACUCUCCGAGUAGCAGACCGCGGAAACUUUUUGCUUUCGCGUACGAUUCCCCUCGAAAACCGCAACGAGCAACGUCGUUGCUCGAAUGCGGUUCCGCGUUCGUUCCGCAACGCUGUGCAACUUCCCAUAUGUUAUCGAACACUGAACGUGUGUCUCAUUAGGUGCGCGUCGCCAUUACAGCCUCUAGACCUCAGAGAAAUGUUGGACUAAUUGUGCGCGUCCACUCAAACGAACCAAGAUUGAUAUAUAAGCAAGAUUAUCCUUAUUUACUUAUUUGUCGAUUUGCUUGAGAUCUUCUUAAUUAAAAUAGCUGUCUAUGUUAUUGUACUAGAGUGUAACAUAUCCCAUUGGUGACGUAAUAUGGUUUUUUCGAUCCUUUACUGAUUUUACGUUCGUUAAUAUUACAUACAUCGUAGAAGUUACACGUCAGCAGCCAUUUAGCUGCUGCUACUGGCAAGGCAAAGAUAUAGCGCAAGAUUGUGGGUAUUGUGCGAUUGGUGGUGGACUACGGAUUUUGAUAUAUUUAUGGGAAAUUUGAGGAUGCAAAGGUAUACAGAAUACACAUAAUACGGAUAUUGUAUAGAACACGCUGCGCUUAAGCUCCGUUCUUCGUAACCCUGUACAUAAGGAUGUAAAUUUGCAUAAAUAUCUGCUAGUGGUAAAUAUAAAAGCAGAAUGAAUUUAUAAUACAGUCCAGUAUGUAUCCAUUCAGUUGUAACAUACACGUAAAACGUCCUCUCUCUUUAAUAAAAUUUUUCCAAUCCGAGAUAUUCUCCUUCAACUAAUGUAAUAUAAGAAUCAGAAGAUCAACAAAGAUGAAUCUACAUAUCACAUUUUUCCUAUGGGUUUCGCAUCUUUUUACGUCUUCGUUCAUGACGUGAGACUAUCCGAAAAUUACGCCUUUCUAUCAUAUUAGGAAAGAUAGUUAACAUGUAAAACUCCUACAACUUUGAUACAAUUAAUUCGUUCGUAUGAACCAGCUGGUAUGUAAGUAUGCACAAUGCGAACGUCUAAAAGUGAUCAGUCCACGAAUAUGCGAUUAACAGAUACUCCACGUCCAAGGAGAUCCUGUCCCAACGUGUAAUAUGGGAACGUCGGUGUAAUUUAACCUUGACUGUCGAUUACUAGCAGCAUGUUGCGGCACGCCGCGCCACACCACACCGAUUACGUCGUCAUCUACACUAUUCUACACGUCUCGCGUUUCUCGAUUCGUCUAGGAAGCGGCUUCUAUGAUCACUUUGUCCGAACGAUUUUUAUACGACACCGCGACGAUUGUUUCGUUCGAGUCGGUUCAGCAUGACUCGAUCAAUACUGCGUCGUUCGAUUUGUUUUUUUAACCACCGUCUGAGUUGCUACUUUAUUACAAUAUAAUAUCUCAAGUAUCAUGAACAACCCAGAGGUUAUAAAUAAGAGGCAAAUAAAUUAAAAAACUGUAUUUUUUUUUUUAAAGCAAAUGAAAAUUACAUGAACAGCUUUUGUUCCCGAGUAUAGAAGAAGUAAAUAUACGGUUCUUCUAAAUGCAAGCAAUCGAGAAUUUCUUACAUAUUUACAAAGAAUUCGGUAAUUGCGAGAAGAGUAACUCUAUGUGAAAGACAUUCUUUCUACGAUACCAAGAAGAUAAAAAAAUACGAGAUGAACUAUUCAGCCUAGAAAAUGCGGCUUAAUAAGUAAACAAGGAAUAAUCAAAUACAUAAAAGAGUCGUUGAAAGGACGGAACAGUCCAUCGGGCAAAUUGAACGAAAAAAUUCGACCUAUUACUCGAACAACGAUGAAACAAGAAAUGAGAUGAAACAGCAAGGACAGCUACUUAUACUGACCAAUAAAUUUUUACGAUAACAAAGAUAGAUAGGAAACAACAUCAUGCGUUAAUCAGUGUAUCAAACGAAAGAAGAAGCAAAAUGAAAAGGAGCAAAUGAAAUUUCAAGAAUAAUUGACGAAUAUAGGAUGAGAUAGAUGGGGUUGUUGGACGCGUAACACGAAACUUUCCGUGGACCAUCCUCGUCGUAUCAUUAUCUACUAAAUAAGGUGAAACAAUAGAACCGUAAAAAGGAAAUAAGAAAAAAAUUGGAGAAACAACCGACGGAGGUGGGGCGAAAAAGAGGGGUUAA